rnacentral:lncRNA from 1 species
GCCCACCAUUUCCAUGGUAACCAACCAAAUUAAAUGCCAAAUAAGCAUUUGGCCCCAUGCCCGGGGCCAAACCAAAUGGCAAAUUUGCCAGUAAUCCCAUGGCCACCGUUGAAAUCAUUGCUGAAACAACGGUGGCCACCACAAGAUCACUUUUUGUCUUUGCAAGACAAGUUUCGUAGCCUGCGUUAGGUUUGACGACGCAGUCUGCACUCUUAGGUGGAGUGCAGUCUGCAGUCGAACAAGUGCCACCGGAGACUGCG